rnacentral:rRNA from 1 species
UGGUGGAGUGAUUUGUCUGGUUAAUUCCGUUAACGAACGAGACCUCAGCCUACUAAAUAGUCAGGAGAGCAUCCGUGCUCUUUAGGGACUUCUUAGAGGGACUGUCGGAUAUCAGCCGAAGGAAGUGUGAGGCAAUAACA